rnacentral:rRNA from 2 species
GCGGGWAUUCGAUUGGAAACAGGUGCUAAUACCGCAUAACAACUUGGACCGCAUGGUCCGAGUUUGAAAGAUGGCUUCGGCUAUCACUUUUGGAUGGUCCCGCGGCGUAUUAGCUAGAUGGUGGGGUAACGGCUCACCAUGGCAAUGAUACGUAGCCGACCUGAGAGGGUAAUCGGCCACAUUGGGACUGAGACACGGCCCAAACUCCUACGGGAGGCAGCAGUAGGGAAUCUUCCACUAUGGACGAAAGUCUGAUGGAGCAACGCCGCGUGAGUGAAGAAGGGUUUCGGCUCGUAAAACUCUGUUGUUAAAGAAGAACAUAUCUGAGAGUAACUGUUCAGGUAUUGACGGUAUUUAACCAGAAAGCCACGGCUAACUACGUGCCAGCAGCCGCGGUAAUACGAUAAUCACUAGUGAAUUCGCGGCCGCCUGCAGGUCGACCAUAUGGGAGAGCUCCCAACGCGU